GCGGGGCGUACGCGGGCGACCGGUCCGGCUCGUACCCGUACGACCCGUGCCCGUACGGUCCCUGCCCGUACGCCCCGUG
rnacentral:tRNA from 1 species